rnacentral:rRNA from 1 species
UACGGGGGGGGCAAGCGUUGUUCGGAAUUACUGGGCGUAAAGGGCUCGUAGGCGGCCAACUAAGUCAGACGUGAAAUCCCUCGGCUUAACCGGGAACUGCAUCUGAUACUGGAUGGCUUGAGUUCGGGAGAGGGAUGCGGAAUUCCAGGUGUAGCGGUGAAAUGCGUAGAUAUCUGGAGGAACACCGGUGGCGAAGGCGGCAUCCUGGACCGACACUGACGCUGAGGAGCGAAAGCCAGGGGAGCAAACGGG